ensembl:lncRNA novel transcript
UUUUUAUAAAAUUUACUGUUUCAAUAAGAACACAAAUCUCUUUAGAGAAAAUUUCAAGGAAUGUAGGAUAAGGACACACAAAAAAACUCACCAUAGUCACAAUGAAAAUGGAAAUUUGUAUACUUGUAUAUUCAUUUCUGAGUCUAAAAAUAUCACAUUCAUAUGGGAGAAUAUUUGGAAACCUAAGAAAACUGUAAAGAAUAAACUCGCUUAUACUCUCACCACCUAGAGAUUUUAAUCGCUAACAUUUUAGUAGGUUUCCUUCUUGUCUGUUUAUACAUUGUAUAUAGGAUCUUUUUCAAAUUGUUAAUAUAAACAACCCCAAGUAUUUUUGUAUGUAAAAAAAUAAAUAUUUAAAAAUCUAAGAGCUAUAAACUGGCAAGGGGAUAUGUAAGUUUUUUAAAUAUUGGCCAUUAAUGUCAGCCAGACAGCAUAUUUUUAUUCUUCAGCUCUUUUGUUUUGGCUGGGGCUACCUGAGUCCUCCUUCCAGUUGUCCAACAUCACCCAUCCACAUUACCCCAUUUCAUCCAGAGGUGAUAGGCUCCAGCCACAGUGUAUUGCUGUGUCACCUGAGUCAAGGUACUUAACCUACCCAAACUUUUAUAUUCUUAUCUGAAAAACUGAAGGUAAAGAUAGUAUACUUGGAAUUGUUUUAGGGACUGAAUGAGGCAAUUCUUUGAAAACACAUAGCAAAGAUUCUGGCAUAUAACAAGUGUUUAAUAAGUAUUAACUGUUAUUAUUAGACCCUUGAUAUAAAGAGAAGGGUAAUAUCAGAGUGUUUCAGUUAAGACUGUUUAUUUCUCAGCCACCCCAAAGAGGGACUUUGGACAGAGGAAGAAACUGUACAGGGACUCCCAAGGUUUUACAAGAGUUGGAUGAAGAAGAAGAGCAGGGAGUGGAUCAUUAGCGAAAGUGAUCAAGAAAGGACACACCCUGGGGAUGCAGACUGGGCAUCUGACUGGGCCCAGGAGCAGAGCAGCUCCAAGGAGGAGGAAGAAGCUGUAGCACAUGUGUGAUAAGGCAAAGGGUCAGUCACCUGUUGCUGUGAAAUUAGCCAAAUUUGGUAGCUUAAAAGACAAUAAACAUCUUUUAUCUCCCACAGUGUCUGUGCAUCAGAAAUUCAGAGGCAGUUUAGCUAGGCAGUUCUGGCCUGGGGUCUCUCAUGAGGUGGUAAUAAAGACAUCAGAUAGUGCUGCAGUUAUCUGAAGGUUUGACUGGGGCUGGAGGAUCAGCUUCUACGGUGGCUCAUGCAGGUGGCUGGCCAACCAAUCUUGGCUGUUCACUGGAGGCCUCAGCUCCUUACCACCCAGACCUCUCCCUAGGACUGAUUGAAUGUCCUCAUCAUGUGGCAGAUGUCUUCCCCCAAAGUGAGCGAUCCUAAGACGGCAUAGCAGAAACCUCAAUAUCUUUUAUAAUGUAGCCUAAGUAGUCACACAGUCUCAUUUCUUCAGGAUUCUGCCAGUGACACGGCCAGCCAUGACUUAGUGUGGAGGGGACUACACACGGGCAGGAUUACCAGGAGGGAGGAAUUGGUGGGGCCCAGCUUGGAAGCUGGUUACCAACACAGAGGUCUAGGAGGGGAAGAGUAAGAGUCCACAAGAGCACAGUGCUUCCGGGGUGGGAGAAGAGGGAACACAGGUCUUCCCCAGCUCCUGCCUGACCUCCUAGUGAGAAGGGGGAAGGUGGUGGUGACAGACUGCACAUGGCAGGUGGAGGGCUUUGAGUUUGUCCUUGUGGUCCAGUGGAGGCCAGAGGCAAGAGCUCUGUGAUGGACCCUAUCCAGACCAGCAGGGUGAGGAGGGAAAAUGGUCGCAGCAGUGUUGCUCCUGUAGAAUGGAGAGGUGGCUUUCCCCCAGGAAUGAGACAUCUGGCCAAAGGUAUUGGGGGCAGCGUUGUGACAGGGAGGCAGAGAUCAAGCCUACGUGGAGUGUGAUGCUGUGCUGCUCUGGCCUAAGGUGUGCAGCGUCUCCAAGGACACUGCUCAGCUCCCUUAGUAUCAGGGCAACUGCACCAGGCUCAAGCCAGAGAGCUCCAAGAAGGGCCAAAUUUCAGAAUGGACUCAAGACUGCUGCCUUUCCACUGUCAUCACUGCCCAGACUCCACUCAGACAAUCUCAAGAGAUUCCUUUAGAGCUCAGGUGCUUCCUUGUCUUCCCAUUUAUUUAGGGAUUUCUACCCAGAGGGUCAGAAAUUAACAGAAAGCCCAACUUCACUGCAACAAGGGGAAAUAGGAAUUUUGCUAUUUUCUGAUCAUGGACAAAUGCAGUCAGUUGUUUGAUGCCAGGAAAAUUCAUCUGCUACUAAAUCUCUACAUAUAUAUGACUUCAUUUUUUCAGUUUUCUUUGCUUCAAAGGAUGUUUAUUUAAGUUAUAUUUGUACGCUCUCCCCCUAAGACAUACAGAACACUGCGCAACUGUGAACUGUACUUAAGUAGGCAUUUCAUAUUCCAUUUUUACGGUAACCCCUUGCAGGGAAAGAGUCAGUGCAGCAAAUCUGUUUUGCUCAAUUCUAGCUUAUCUCUGAGGAUGUCUGGAGCCAGGAUCUAAGAACUAAACCUUGGAAUGUUCACAAAUGAUGUCAUUCUGUGCCCAGCACAUUGGGGUAGGACAUACUAAACCAUCAACACCAUUUAAAGCAAACAUGAACCUCUAUGAUGUACACCUGGUGCCUGGUUUGAGGCUCACAACACGAGUGCUUGCGUAGCAGGUAUGCACCAGAACUGUGCCUGAGUUCUCUGCUCUUCAAAGCUGGAAAGAAAACAUGUGUGUGUGUAAGCCAUGCAGAAGGACAAAAGCCUGUUCCUGAGCAUUUUAGCCUUCACCUGUACGUGUAUUUUUUUUUUUCUGUUCUGGCACUGUAUCUUUUGCAAUAAACCUUAGCGGUGAGUAGAAUCUGAUGCUGAGUUAUGCAGGUUCUUCUAGUGAAUUACUGAACCAGUGAGUAGUCAUAGGCCCCCAGAACCUGCCUAAUUUUCAAAGUAAAAUUUUUAAUUACUUGGAAUGAAGUUCAAUCCUAGAUACUACCUAGGAACAGCAACCUCAAAUAUCUCAUUACAGCUUUGCUGCUUUUAGAGUAAAUAAUCACAGAAACUUUUACCUCCCAGAGCCUAUUAAUUCCCCUCUCCACUUCUAUUCUUCUUAAUAACAAUCACAUAUAUACUGAUAGGAAUCACUGGUUAUUUUGAAGACAUAUAAGUGGUAAGGAACCCAGUUCCACCUCCUCCCACAGUAACAAAAUAAAGGAGGAAGCAAAGAUAUAUAGGAGCAAAAGUUUCGUGCACUAUCAAGAAUAAAUUGAGGCUGGGUGCGGUGGCUCACACCUGCAAUCCCAGCACUUUGGGAGGCUCAGGCAGGCAGACCACUUGAUGUCAGGAGUUCAAGACCAGCCUGGCCAACAUGGUGAAACUCUGUCCCUACCAAAAAAUACAAAAAUUAGCCAAGCAUGGUGGCACGCACCUGUAGUACCAGCUACUCGCCCAGCUGAGGUGGGAGAAUUGCUUGAACCCAGGAAGCGGAGGCUUCAGUGAGCCACGAUCGCACCACUGCACUCCAGUCAAGACCCUGUCUCAAAAAAUUUGUAAAAAAGGAAAAAUUGAUAUUAAUUUCAUCCAGAUUGUUAUAAAUUAUGUUAGUCGUAACCCCCAGGGCAAACACUAAGAAAAUGACUAAAAAUAUAUAGUAAAAGAAAUGAAAAUGGAAUCAAAAUGGUACUGUAAAAAAUAUCUUUCUGUGUACACUGACAGACAACACCAAAAAAAGAAAUAAAAUAUAUUUUUAAUACAAAAGAAGGGAAUAACAGGAACUGAGGAACAAAAAAUAUGUAAGACAUUUAGAAAACAAAAAUAAAAUGCAGAAGUAAUGAUCAGUAAUCACGUUAAAUAAAAAUAGAUUAAACUCUUCAUUUAAAAACCAGAUAUUGGCAGAAUGGGUGAACAUUUCCCAAUUAUACCCCAGCUACAAGAUACUCAUUUUUGUUUCAAGUCACACAUAGGUUGAAAAUGAGAGGACACAAAAAGAUAUUCCAUGAAAAUAGUAACCCAAAGAGAGCUGGAGUGGCUACUAAUGUCAGACAAAAUAGACUUUAAGACAAAAAUUGUUACAAGAGGCAAGGAGGGCAUUUAUAUAAUGAUAAAAGGGUCAAUUUAUUAAGAUAUAUAACAGGUAUAAACAUAUGCACUCAAUAACAGAGUCUCAAAAUAUAUGAAGCAAAAACUAACAGAAUUGAAGUGAGAAAUAGACAGUUAAAUAAUAAAAGUUGAAAAAUUCAACACCCUCCUUUCAAUAAUGAAUAGAACAACUAACCAUGGCCAGGUGCAGUGGCUCACACCUGUAAUCCCAGCACUUUGGGAGGCCGAGGUGGGUGGAUCACUUAAGGUCAGGAGUUUGAGACCAGCCUG